CCAAACGAGCCUAGUGAUAGCUGGUUUCUCGAGAAAAGGAUCUAAGUCCAACCUAAAGCUUAAUUUAAUACCACAAAAUUAAAAAUUUAACUUUAGAGCAAUUCAAUUAAGGUACAGCCUACUUGAAACAGGAUACAACCUCAACUAAUGGGUUAUCUUAACCACCAGCACACUUAAGUUGGCCUAAGAGCAGCCACCUUUUAAAUAGCGUCAAAGCUUAGCCAUGCGACUGUUUAAUCUCAACAACACCUAUUAACCCUUUACUACUAUUGAGUACUUCUAUAUACCUAUAGAACUUUUUAUGUUAAAACUAGUAACAAGAACUUAGACCUUCUCUUAUAUGUCAGUGUACAUCAGUAAGGACACACCACUGAUAAUUAACACCAAUGAACUAAAAGUAGCAACUCAACAAGAAAAUUCUUCUUAAUAAUAUGUUAACCUAACACAAGUACAUUCCAAGAAAGAUUUAAAGAAAAAGAAGGAACUCGGCAAAUAUUAACCUCGCCUGUUUACCAAAAACAUCGCCUCUUGUAAAAAUCUAAGAGGUCCAGCCUGCCCAGUGACCCUGUUCAACGGCCGCGGUAUCCUAACCGUGCGAAGGUAGCGUAAUCACUUGUUCUUUAAAUAAGGACUAGUAUGAAUGGCACCACGAAGGUUAUACUGUCUCCUUUUUCUAAUCAGUGAAACUAAUCUUCCCGUGAAGAAGCGGGAAUAAUUAUAUAAGACGAGAAGACCCUAUGGAGCUUUAAACAAAAUAACAAUUGCUAACUAAAUCUUAAUUUCAGAAAACCAAUCUUUAUUCUAGCAUUGUGAUUAUCAGUUUUAGGUUGGGGUGACCACGGAGAAAAAAAUAACCUCCAUAUUGAAAGAACUACUAUUCUAAGCAAAAAGCUACAACUUUAAGCAUCAACAAAUUGACAUCUAUUGACCCAAUAUUUUGAUCAACGAACCAAGUUACCCUAGGGAUAACAGCGCUAUCCACUUUAAGAGCCCUUAUCGACAAGUGGGCUUACGACCUCGAUGUUGGAUCAGGGUAUCCCAGUGGUGCAGCCGCUACUAAAGGUUCGUUUGUUCAACGAUUAAAACCCUACGUGAUC
rnacentral:rRNA from 1 species